GUGGGGAAUAUUGGACAAUGGGCGAAAGCCUGAUCCAGCCAUGCCGCGUGUGUGAAGAAGGUCUUCGGAUUGUAAAGCACUUUAAGUUGGGAGGAAGGGCAGUAAGUUAAUACCUUGCUGUUUUGACGUUACCGACAGAAUAAGCACCGGCUAACUUCGUGCCAGCAGCCGCGGUAAUACGAAGGGUGCAAGCGUUACUCGGAAUUACUGGGCGUAAAGCGUGCAGAGGUGGUGGUUUAAGUCCGUUGUGAAAGCCCUGGGCUCAACCUGGGAACUGCCUCCAAAACUGCAUGACUAGAGUACGGUAGAGGGUAGUGGAAUUUCCUGUGUAGCGGUGAAAUGCGUAGAUAUAGGAAGGAACACCAGUGACGAAGGCGACUACCUGGACUGAUACUGACACUGAGGUGCGAAAGCGUGGGGAGCAAACAGGAUUAGAUACCCGGGUAGUCC
rnacentral:rRNA from 1 species